rnacentral:rRNA from 1 species
UGAGAUCCUGUCUGAAUAUGGGGGGACCAUCCUCCAAGGCUAAAUACUACUGACUGACCGAUAGUGAACCAGUACCGUGAGGGAAAGGCGAAAAGAACCCCUGUGAGGGGAGUGAAAUAGAACCUGAAACCGUGUACGUACAAGCAGUAGGAGCAGGCUUCGUCCUGUGACUGCGUACCUUUUGUAUAAUGGGUCAGCGACUUAUAUUCAGUGGCAAGGUUAACCAUCUAGGGGAGCCGUAGGGAAACCGAGUCUUAACUGGGCGUUCAGUCUCUGGAUAUAGACCCGAAACCAGGUGAUCUAGCCAUGGGCAGGUUGAAGGUUGAGUAACAUCAACUGGAGGACCGAACCGACUAAUGUUGAAAAAUUAGCGGAUGACUUGUGGCUAGGGGUGAAAGGCCAAUCAAACCUGGAGAUAGCUGGUUCUCCCCGAAAGCUAUUUAGGUAGCGCCUCGGACGAAUACUACUGGGGGUAGAGCACUGUUAAGGCUAGGGGGUCAUCCCGACUUACCAACCCUUUGCAAACUCCGAAUACCAGUAAGUACUAUCCGGGAGACACACGGCGGGUGCUAACGUCCGUCGUGGAGAGGGAAACAACCCAGACCGCCAGCUAAGGUCCCAAAUUACUACUAAGUGGGAAACGAUGUGGGAAGGCUCAGACAGCCAGGAUGUUGGCUUAGAAGCAGCCAUCAUUUAAAGAAAGCGUAAUAGCUCACUGGUCGAGUCGGCCUGCGCGGAAGAUGUAACGGGGCUAAGUAGUAAACCGAAGCUGCGGCAAUGAACUUUAGUUCAUUGGGUAGGGGAGCGUUCUGUAAGCGGUUGAAGGUGUGUGGUAACGCAUGCUGGACGUAUCAGAAGUGCGAAUGCUGACAUGAGUAACGAUAAAGGGGGUGAAAAACCUCCUCGCCGGAAGACCAAGGGUUCCUGUCCAACGUUAAUCGGGGCAGGGUAAGUCGACCCCUAAGGCGAGGCCGAAAGGCGUAGUCGAUGGGAAACGGGUUAAUAUUCCCGUACUUCUUACAAUUGCGAUGGGGGGACGGAGAAGGCUAGGUGGGCCUGGCGACGGUUGUCCAGGUUCAAGUGCGUAGGCUGAGGAGUUAGGUAAAUCCGGCUUCUCUUAAGGCUGAGACACGACGUCGAGCGAUGUUUCAAUCCCAUCCAUCACUGGCAUUUCAAUAUCCAUUAAAAUUAAAUCAAUACUU